CAGCAGCCGCGGUAAUACAGAGGGUGCGAGCGUUAAUCGGAUUUACUGGGCGUAAAGCGUGCGUAGGCGGCUUCUUAAGUCGGAUGUGAAAUCCCUGAGCUUAACUUAGGAAUUGCAUUCGAUACUGGGAAGCUAGAGUAUGGGAGAGGAUGGUAGAAUUCCAGGUGUAGCGGUGAAAUGCGUAGAGAUCUGGAGGAAUACCGAUGGCGAAGGCAGACAUCUGGCCUAAUACUGACGCUGAGGUACGAAAGCAUGGGGAGCAAACAGGAUUAGAUACCCCCGUAGUCCCUGUCUCUUAUAA
rnacentral:rRNA from 1 species